rnacentral:rRNA from 1 species
CAGCCCCUCGAGUGGUGGGGAUGAUUAUUUGGCCUAAAGCGUCCGUAGCCGGCCGAGUAAGUCCCCCGUUAAAUCCAGCGUCUCAAGCGUUGGACUGCGGGAGAUACUACUUGGCUAGAGAGUGGGAGAGGUCAGCGGUAUUCUGGGGGUAGGGGCGAAAUCCUUUGAUCCCCGGAGGACCACCAGUGGCGAAGGCUGCUGACUAGAACACGUCUGACGGUCAGGGACGAAAGCUGGGGGAGCAAACCGGAUUAGAUACCCGAGUAGUCC